rnacentral:rRNA from 1 species
CUUGGUCAUUUAGAGGAAGUAAAAGUCGUAACAAGGUUUCCGUAGGUGAACCUGCGGAAGGAUCAUUAAUGAAACAAACCGGGGGCGGUGGGGCGCGUUCUGUGCUAAUUAAAAAUUUGUUUUUUUUUGCCGCGUCGCCCCCCCAUACCUUGUACAUCUGUGACUCUGAUUGCCGCUCCGGGGCUUUGGACGGGCCUGCUCCUCGAAACUUUUCACACCCUCUUGUUUGUAAUACAAAGUCAACGAGUGAGUAGCUGCAACUUUCACAGCUUUCUGCACCGGAUGUCUUGGAUCUCACAUCAAUGAAGAACGCAGCGAAAUGCGAAAGUAAUGUGAAUUGCGGAAUUCCGGGGAUCACCCUGUCUUUCCUCGCACCUUGCCCAUUUUGAUUUGAUUUACGGUACGCUCGCAUGAUUGGCGUUGUACUCACACUGGGGUGGGCCUUGUUCCCUAGCUGAAUGUGGACAUGGACGUCGGCCUGACGAUCCGCCACACGUCGACAACCCUGGAAGGUACUCUGAUUUCCCCCAUAUUUCAUGUGCUGCAUCUGUACUCCCUUGAUAUAUCUGGCUCGCGUCUACACAUCUAUACCUCUAUGACCCCGUGAACCCUCCAGAGAUGGUGUGUGAUGCAUCACGUAAAAUCUCGUGCUGAUACCAGCUCAACUAGUGCAACUCACAUCUCGCAAGAUUGCCGAAGUCGCUCGAACCGGUCGGAUCAUACGA